rnacentral:lncRNA from 1 species
CUGCACAGCGUGGCGGCCGGCUACCCGGAGUCGCCCAGCGAGCGGCAGCAGGGGCUGAUGCGCGGCAUGGUGGAGGGGCUGGCGGAGUUCUACCCCUGCGAGGUGUGCCGCGAGCACCUGAGGUGAGGUGAAGGCCUAGGCGACUGGGAGGGGAGGGGAUAAAGCCGUUUAUGUGGAGAACGGAGUGGUUAACAUGACAGUUAUAAAGAGCCGACGUCCAGUGGGAACAGUGGGAACAGCGGGCACAGGGGGUGCAGUGUUCCCAGGCAGAGAGGCAUGAGGGCUGUUCGGCAAGGCGGUUCAGUCGCCGGGAAGACCGGCGGAGCCGAGGGGGUCAGGACUCAGGGAGCUCGAGGGAGCGGUUAGGCCUCAUUGCCAGUGCCUGCCGCAGCCAGCCCACCUGCCAUUCACGACCCCUCCUGGUAACCGCAACCCGCUGUGCCCUACUACGUCCGCCCCACUCGAUGCUCCACCUCCUGCCCCCCUCCCCCACCUCGCCUCCCACCCCCACCCCCACCCCCACCACAAUCGCCACCCCCACCUCCUCACCACCCCCGCCCCCACAACCCCGACCCCCACCUCCUCACCCCCACACACCUCCCAUCAUCACAGGGAGCAGGUGGCCGCCCGCCCGCCCCAGGUGGGGAGCGCACGGGAGCUCAACAUGUGGCUGUGCGGCCUGCACAACGAGGUGGGCGGCCCGCGGCGUGUGUGUGUGUGGGGGGGGGGGGGGAAGGGGCGGGUUGCGUGUGUGUGUGUGCGCUCCUCUCGCUCCAGUCCACACACACGCAUCAUCUGCACUGACUGGCACACACUCAUCACAGCCACGCACGCACGCACGCACGCACGCACGCACGCACGCACGCACGCACGCACGCACGGACGCACGCACGCACGCACACAGUCACACUCACACUCACACACACACACACACACACACACGCCCACGUGCAGGUGAACGAGAUGCUGGGCAAGCCGCUGUUCGACUGCGCGCGUGUGGGCGAGCGCUGGCGGGAGGGGCCGGCCGACGGCUCCUGCGACUGAGCCGCUGGCUGGCGCGGCCGGCCGAGGACUGCUGUAGGGGAGGGGGCUGAAGGGCCGAGGGGGGGGGGGCGGCCUUUGGGGGCCUGCUGAGGCAAGGCGUGCAACUGUGCUGGUGUUUGUGGACGGCUGGGAGGUCGUGAGGGUGAGCGUGGGGUGGGGGAGCAGAGCAGUGGCUGAGGGGCCGGCGAGCAGACCUGCGGACUGCUGGGAGGGCGGCUGAGGGGGCGGGAGGCAGAGGGGGCAGGAGUUGCGCCACAGCGCUUGGGAUUCAGGGAACUGGGGCGACAGGCGGCGCAGGGUAAGGAGGUGGACGUCAGGGAUUUGGCGGUCGACUGGUCGAGUGACGGAAUGAGCCGGCUGUGAACGGGAACAAAAGGCACCCCGGGUUUGGGUGUGUGUUCCACACGCGGGGUUGCGGUAUUGCAUAUGCGGAUGGCGAGGCCCAGGAGAAGACAUACAUAUACAUGUGGGUGUGUGAAUGGGACAGUGUCAAGGCAGGUUGGUAAAGUCCCGUAGGGUGCAGCUGAUUCCCAGAACCCAGCAGAUGACAAACAAUUUGCAACGGCAGGGCAGGAGUACGCGGCCGGUCGAACGCCGGAGUUACUGUACCGACGAGUUGCUGGCUGGCUGGAAGUUUGCUGAUGCGCAUUCCUCACGCUCCGGGCGCCCGGCCAGGCGAUAGCACCACACAGACACACCGCAACGCCACACUCGCGAGGCAGUGCCGCAUCGCACCUGCAGGAAGAUGACCAGCGUCCACGGAUGAGCACCAAAUGCAACACAGAGAAAAUGCAACAGUAUGCAGCAAAGCAGUGGCCGGGCGACAGUAUGACAAGCAGGGGCGAAAACAGGGCGCGGCAAGGCAGAAAAGGGAGCCCGAAUGUACGGAUGAGUGGCGGGCGAGUCGAAUGCGAGUGCGAGACAAACACAACAUCAUAUACAUGUGGGUGAUUGACCUGUUGCCGGUGUCAUUAGCAGGACCUGCUGGUUGAAAUGCCAGACUG